GUGGAUAAGGAAGGGUUAGGUGUAAGUUC
rnacentral:piRNA from 1 species